GAUGAACGCUAGCGGCAGGCCUAAUACAUGCAAGUCGAACGGUGUCUUCGGACAUAGUGGCGCACGGGUGCGUAACACGUAUGCAACCUACCUUACAUUGGGGGAUAGCCUUUCGAAAGGGAGAUUAAUACCGCAUAAGACAGUAGCUGGGCAUCCAGCAGCUGUUAAAGAUUUAUCGAUGUAAGCUGGGCAUGCGUCCAAUUAGCUAGUUGGUGAGGUAACGGCUCACCAAGGCAAUGAUUGGUAGGGGAACUGAGAGGUCAAUCCCCCACACUGGCACUGAGAUACGGACCAGACUCCUACGGGAGGCAGCAGUAGGGAAUAUUGGUCAAUGGACGCAGGUCUGAUCCAGCCAUGCCGCGUGAAGGAUGAAGGCCCUAUGGGUCGUAAACUUCUUUUAUUAGGGAAGAAAAAACGGGAUGCGUCCUGUACUGACGGUACUUAAUGAAUAAGGAUCGGCUAACUUCGUGCCAGCAGCCGCCGUAA
rnacentral:rRNA from 1 species